CAUUUGUGUUCUAACGCAAAUGCUGACUUCUUAGAGGAAUAAAUUGCGUUUAGCUAAAUGAAAUUGAGCAAUAACAGGUCUGUGAUGCCCUUAGAUGCCCGGGGCCGCACGCGCGCUACAAUGGCAGUAACAGCAAGUUUUAUUCCUAGCUAGAAAUGGCCGGGUAACCUGCUAAAUCACUGUCGUGUCAGGAAUAGUGGAUUGAAAUUAUNUCAAAGUCGUGCAUAUCUUUGAUGCUCUUUAAUGGGUGUUGAGGAUAACCGACAAGUUUACUUUGAAAAAAUUAGAGUGCUUAAAGCAGGCUUACGUUUGUAUAUUGUUGCAUGGAAUAAUAAAAUAGGACUUCGGUUUUUUUUUGUUGGUUUUCGAAACUGAAGUUAUGAUUAAAAGAGACUGCCGGGGGCAUAUGUAUGCUGGUGCUAGAGGUGAAAUUCUUAGACCAUCAGCAGACAAACUACUGCGAAAGCAUUUGCCAAGAAUGUUUUCAUUAAUCAAGAACGAAAGUCAGAGGAUCGAAGACGAUCAGAUACCGUCCUAGUUCUGACCAUAAACUAUGCCAACUGACAGUUAGUAAAGAUGAAUUAUUUCUUCUUACUAGAAGUCACCGGGAAACCAAAGUCUUUGGGUUCCGGGGGAAGUAUGGUUGCAAAGCUGAAACUUAAAGGAAUUGACGGAAGGGCACCACAAGGAGUGGAGCCUGCGGCUUAAUUUGACUCAACACGGGAAAUCUCACCCGGUCCGGACACUGUGAGGAUUGACAGAUUGAUAGCUCUUUCUUGAUUCGGUGGGUGGUGGUGCAUGGCCGUUCUUAGUUGGUGGAGCGAUUUGUCUGGUUAAUUCCGUUAACGAACGAGACUCUAACCUGCUAAAUAGUACAUUUGUGUUCUAACGCAAAUGCUGACUUCUUAGAGGAAUAAAUAGCGUUUAGCUAAAUGAAAUUGAGCAAUAACAGGUCUGUGAUGCCCUUAGAUGUCCGGGGCCGCACGCGCGCUACAAUGGCAGUAACAGCGAGUUUUAUUCCUAGCUAGAAAUGGCCGGGUAACCUGCUAAAUCACUGUCGUGUCAGGAAUAGUGGAUUGAAAUUAUUCCACUUGAACGAGGAAUUCCUAGUAAGCGCAAGUCACUAGCUUGCGCUGAUUACGUCCCUGCCCUUUGUACACACCGAUUCUUCUUGAUUUGAUUGAGUAUGGAAAUUGUAAUUCAACUUGUCUUGGCGAUAAGAAUUUUGUAAGGUCCUUCAUAUUGAAUUCUCUCCUUCUUUCGUCUAUG
rnacentral:rRNA from 1 species